rnacentral:rRNA from 1 species
UAAAGGGUCCGUAGGCGGGCCCGUAAGUCAGUGGUGAAAUCUCGCAGCUUAACUGUGAAACUGCCAUUGAUACUGCGGGUCUUGAGUAAAUUUGAAGUGGCUGGAAUAAGUAGUGUAGCGGUGAAAUGCAUAGAUAUUACUUAGAACACCAAUUGCGAAGGCAGGUCACUAAGAUUUAACUGACGCUGAUGGACGAAAGCGUGGGGAGCGAACAGGAUUAGAUACCCUGGUAGUCCACGCCGUAAACGAUGCUAACUCGUUUUUGGAUUUUCGGAUUCAGAGACCAAGCGAAAGUGAUAAGUUAGCCACCUGGGGAGUACGAUCGCAAGAUUGAAACUCAAAGGAAUUGACGGGGGCCCGCACAAGCGGUGGAUUAUGUGGUUUAAUUCGAUGAUACGCGAGGAACCUUACCAAGACUUAAAUGGGAAUUGACAGAUCUGGAAACAGAUUCUCCUUCGGGCAAUUUUCAAGGUGCUGCAUGGUUGUCGUCAGCUCGUGCCGUGAGGUGUUAGGUUAAGUCCUGCAACGAGCGCAACCCCUGUCACUAGUUGCUAACAUUCAGUUGAGGACUCUAGUGAGACUGCCUACGCAAGUAGAGAGGAAGGUGGGGAUGACGUCAAAUCAUCACGGCCCUUACGUCUUGGGCCACACACGUAAUACAAUGGCCGGUACAGAGGGCAGCUACACAGCGAUGUGAUGCAAAUCUCGAAAGCCGGUCUCAGUUCGGAUUGGAGUCUGCAACUCGACUCUAUGAGGCUGGAAUCGCUAGUAA